rnacentral:rRNA from 1 species
UACGUAGGUGGCAAGCGUUGUCCGGAUUUAUUGGGUUUAAAGGGUGCGUAGGCGGUUUUUUAAGUCAGUGCUGAAAUACUCCAGCUUAACUGGAGGGGUGGCAUUGAUACUGGAAGACUUGAGUACAGAUGAGGUAGGCGGAAUUGACGGUGUAGCGGUGAAAUGCAUAGAUAUCGUCAAGAACACCGAUAGCGAAGGCAGCUUACUGGGCUGUAACUGACGCUGAUGCACGAAAGUGUGGGGAUCAAACAGGG